UUAGCACGUCAAUAUUAGAAUUUUGCGUCACAGAACAACAUAUAGCUGCACCAAAGGUCGUUAUAUAUUUAUUAAAUUUAAUAAAAUAUUUAAUUAUAUUUUAUUACGUCUUAUUAAACAUAACCCAAAAAGGACAAUCAAUUAUCAAUGACCCAUAUUAAACGCCAGGCCGGCGGCCCGCUACCACACAAAAGCAAUCAUGCUCUUGCGACGUUUACUCGUUGAUAUUGAUUCCUUUCUUUUUUUUAAUGCUUAUUUCUUACUCAAAGCUCGUCAACAACACCACUCUAUUGGCAUUUUCCUACUGUCUUCUUCUUUCAUUCUCUUUCUCGGUUAAUUUUGGAUGAUCGCUUCAGAUUACUAAUUCGCCAUGGAUAGUGAGAAGGGAGAAAUUCGUGUCAGCGGUAAUGCCACGCAGAGGAUAACGUCUCAAGAUGAAGCCCAAGCUCUUAAAAAGUGUUUGGAGGAAAGUAAAGGAGACCAUGACAAAUGCAAGUCCAAGGUUGAUUCUUUCUUUUCUUCCUCCUCUUCUGUUUCUCGUCCAAGGAAACGGUUGCCACCUUUACGGCUCAGAAGUGGUUCGUUGACUGAUAUCUGAAGCAAGCAGUAGUAACCCAUUUUCAUUAUUUUAUGUUUCUAUUAAUCUAUGUGCUGCUUUUAUGUCACUAUUGUAUGAAUAGGAAUACCGAAGCAGUCAGAGCCGCUGCCAAUGUCCAGAUCAUUCUAUAGCUUGGUUUUCUCUUUUCUCUACGGAUCUGAUUUCUUUGCAGUUGAAUAUUAACUUUUUCCUUUCUUUUC